AGAAGAGUAAGGAAAGCCCGCCAAGAAAGUGCUGAUGAGCAGUCUCUAGGCUCUUCCCAUGAGUCCGGGCUAGACCUCUGCCACUGACAGCUGCAUCACCCUGAGAGCCCACAGAGGUGCACCAGGUGGAAGGACAGAGAGCCAUGCUGCUGUCAAACGGGAGCUCGAUGCUGCCCACCUGAGACACGGUUUAAGCUUUAAAACACUUCUAGCCAUGGCCUAGAAGCUGAGCGUUAUACUUUACUCAGUGGAAAUUUUUAAGACUGGUCCAUCUAGUCAAGGCUAUGAUUUUUCCAGUGGUCAUGUAUGGAUGUGAGUGUUGGACUAUAAAGAAAGCUGAGCGCAGAGAAUUGAUGCUUUUGAACUGUGGUGUUGGAGAAGACUCUUGAGAGUCCCUUGGACUGCAAGGAGAUCCAACCAGUCCAUCCUGAAGGAGAUCAGCCCUGUAUAUUCAUUGGAAGGAUUGAUGCCGGAGCUGAAACUCCAAUACUUUGGCCACCUGAUGCGAAGAGCUGACUCAUUGGAAAGAACCCUGAUGCUGGGAAGGAUUGGGGGCAGGAGGAAAAGGGGACGACAGAGGAUGAGAUGGUUGGAUGGCAUCACCGACUCAAUGGACACGAGUUUGGGUGCACUCUGGGGGUUGGUGAUGGACAGGUCAUGGGGUUGCCAGAGUCGGACAUGACUGAGCGACUGACCAGCAACAAACCCGGGAGGCAGCACCUCAAGUAAGGCUGAGAGAACGGCUCCAGGAGGUGAGGGGCGGAGCAGGUUAUAUGGAGGUUUUGCAACAAAAGGCAGAAAUAUCCCAGAGAUAACAGAGAACCAGGAAGUCUACAGACUGACUACGUUUGGAUUUAUUCACGGAAAUAUGUGAAUUAAUUUGUGAAUAAACUCUUACGUACAAUGAGUAAACUCAGGAGAUAAACAUGACGUGACGGCACCGUGUACAUACCAAACGCGUGUGGACGCGGGGCAGAGGGAGACGGACACCUCACGGUUCCCAGGGGCUGCCUUCUGCCACGAACAUGUUCCACCUAGCACCAACCCAGCUGGCUGUGACUGUCGAGAAAACUGAACUCUACAUGGACACAUUAUGCAGCCAAGCUCACACAUCCAGCAUACGACGCCCACUUCUCUUCCAUGUGUUAGGCUGAGAAACGUCCAUGGCAGAAAGGAGCUGAUGGACUGAUUCUGCAGUAAGAAUCCUCUGUGUAAUUUCUGUGCACAGACCACGUGGUUAGCACCGUCCGGUCCCACACCUGGCCUGAGCUUCCCCUCCUUCGCUGCCGAGGGCCAGCUCGAGAGCCCGUGCCCAUCAGGAGGCCACCUGGCCCAGCCGGGAGCAACCUCUCCUCCCUCCUGCAGCAUCUGCUGACGGUAACACUCAGCUCACACUUGUCUCCAGGGACUGUCCACCCCGAUCCCUCAUGAGAGGAAUGGACUAUAGACUCUGAGAACAGGAAGCGUGCUUUAUGCAAGGAGAGGCCGGGAAAGCCAUCGCAGCAAGUGCAAAUCAGUGCUCACUUGUGAGAAUCCACAGGGAGUCCCGGGCUCGAGGACAGAGAAUGGCAGAUGCCCAAAAGUGGGAUGAGUGAGCUCACUCGGAGUUGACUCCCAAAUCCAACAUCACUGUAAAAUGUAAAGGGCUUCUAAUUUUGCACCUCACGAGAUCACUAUUGCUCCAAACAAGAUGAAGCAAAGAGGUGAGGUUGCCGGAAAGCUGCCUGCUGUUCUGUGUUUGUCCGAGAAAGAGGAAGCUGCAUCCAGCAGCACCCAGGGGUGGCAAAAAUGCAGAAGCGCAGUGCAGAGGGCAGGCGCCCUGCCGGGGAGGCAGCGAAAAGAGGAGCCUGGGAGGAAAGGUGGAGAGCAGUGCCACGGAGAGAAGAGUCAUCCAGUCCGUACUGUAGCCCUGCAGGUAAUUCUGGGGCCUGCUGGAGCCGACCUAACAAGCACCAAGUGUCAGAAGUAACCGUAAGAUCUGAGUACAGAUGUUACAGAGGUGACUUCCAAUACUUUGUAGAGUAGUGGGCUCCUCCUGAAUCAUUCUCCUAAAAUUCCAUACCUGAUCACCAUCUCUAUUACAAAAGAGAGCGUUAUGCUGUCUGCCACAGAAACUGUAGACUGUUACGAAGUCUAUUUUAUUUUCCCCCAGGAGUCACGCUACACUUCGGCAUCAAGUGGCUCACGGAGGCAAAGGUGAAACAGUGCCGUCUGUCGAGUGUCCACAGUGGGCCUUAGACAUUAGAGUCCCUUAUCUCGCUCCUUGGCGGAGACCUCGAGAAGCAGGAAUAUUAGUCCAGUCUUACAGGUAGGAAAAGGCCAACUUGGGCCUCCCUGGUGGCUCAGACGGUAAAGAUCUGCCUGCAGAGCAGGAGACCCGAGUUCCAUCCCUGGGUCGGGAAGAUCCCCUGGAGAAGGAAAUGGCACCCCACUCCAGGACUCUUGCCUGGAAAAUCCCAUGGACGGAGGAGCCUGGUAGGCUGCAGUCAUGGGAUCGCAAAGAGUUGGACACGGCGAAGCGACUUCACUUUCACUUUCACUUAAAGGUAAGAAAACUAGGUUUCAGAGCAGUUAAGGGCCUGUCCUCGAGUCUCACCUCAAAACCUCUAAUACUUAAUGUUACGCCACAGUGCCUCAACAAUCUGGCAAGAAACAAAGGUCCAUCUGUAAACUACAGUCAUUUCAAGUACAGUAUGUUUAUGCGACACUUUGAGGGAUUGGUUUAAGGCGACAAGAGAUUUCAGAGAUGGCCUAGCUCAUCAUCAUCGCAAUCAAACAAACUGAAAAAAACAGAAACGAAUAACAGCGCUCCUGGAGUCAGAAAGCAACGGAGGGGCAUAGCUGAGCGCACCGCCGGGGUCUCCUGACGAGAUCCCACCGAGUCUCACUUCAGCUCCUCUCUUAAUGCUAAGAAACGCUAGGAAGCUGUUGAGUGGGAGCGUUGGGGUUAGAACCUCGGGAGUCAAAGCUAAAUGCCCAGAGGGAGCUCUUUCUACCACACAACAGUGUGCCAAGACCACAGUGAAAAUUACAGCAUCUGUUUGCAUUUCUCAAACAUAUUUGUGUUGUAAUACCCAUUACUUAGACAUCAAUGUACAAUGCUCACUUUUUUCAUUCGGAAAAUUUAGAAGGAGCUUGGAGGGUGACAUGCCUUUCAGGUCAUAGUCAGCUCAAUUUAGAUUUGUUGAUUGACAUAUUGUCCACUUGGAUCGAUUCUGUGAUACUUUACACUCUGUGGUCUUUGGAGAAAGCCAAUUUCUAAACAAGUUCAUGCCUCCAUCUCUGGCCAAGGCAUGUAUUUUCCCUGAUCUGAAUCUGCUCCUUAGGGGCUGUUACAAUACCCCUCUUCUGGAAUUUCUCACCGGCACCAUGAAGCCACUUUCUUUGGGGUGUAUUCCUUGCCUCGGUAGGAGUAUAUACUUUCUCUUUUAGGAGGGAACCUGAGCUUUUCACUUCUACAAAGUCCCACCGUAAAACAGGUCCUAAAAGGGGAGGAGUGAAAGCUGGACUGGUCAGUCUUUCCGCGUCGUCACUUGUUUCAGCGCGCACGCUAGCUUGACGUCUCUACCGUGGUGUCGGUAACAACCAGCAAAUGCUGACCAUCCCACUAUGCGGACGGCCCUUGUCAUCAACACCUAACCUGCGGCUCUCUCCCGUGACAUCGGCCUAAGUGGUCUCGUUGCAGAAUCGGUCACAAAAUCGCUUCUCAGGUUGCUGCUGCCGCUCAGUUGCUCGGUCAAGUCCAGCUCUUGUGGCCCCGUGGGCGGUAGGCCAGCAGCCUCCUCUGUCCAUGGGGUUUUUCAGGCAAGCGUACUGGAGUGGGCCGCCAUUUCCUUCUCCAGGGCAUCUUCCUGACCCAGGGAUUGAACCCACAUCUCUUUACAUCUCCUGCACUGCAGGCAGAUUCUUUACCGGGUGAGCCGAUGGGAGAGAUUGCUAUUAGCUGUCAUUUGUGUGUUACUGAGCGUGUUUUACACUGAUAAAGGCAAGGCUCUGUUGCACUAGAUUGGGUAAGCCCAGGAACCCUUCAAGGAUACCAGGGGUGAAGGAUGGAAUUUUCCAGUGAAAAACAGCCAUUUUGCAACUUCAAAAGCAUCACUGGCCAGCAGUUGCCCUUGGGAGUAGAUUGUCUGGCACAGAAUCCCUCAUAUUCCCAGCAUGACCUUAGGAUGUAAUUCGGUAAUGAGAUCAUCUGGCAACCUUGAGCUUUAAUACAG
ensembl:lncRNA